rnacentral:pre_miRNA from 1 species
AAUAAAUCAAUUCCUGUGUUUUUAUUGAAUUUUUGACUCUUCGUCUUAUUUGAAAUUUUUUUAUGAUUAAUAUUUUUAUUGUUAUUACAUGAUAAAAUAUGAAUAAUACUUUACAUGUGACUUUUUUUUAAUUUUUUAAUAAAUUCUUCAAAUAAGACGGAUGGUCAAACGCUCUAUAAGACAAAACUCAGG